UACGGAGGAUGCAAGCGUUAUCCGGAAUGAUUGGGCGUAAAGAGCUCGUAGGCGGUGUGUCGCGUCGGCCGUGAAAACCUGCAGCUUAACUGUGGGCUUGCGGUCGAUACGGGCAUCACUGGAGUUCGGCAGGGGAGACUGGAAUUCCUGGUGUAGCGGUGAAAUGCGCAGAUAUCAGGAGGAACACCGGUGGCGAAGGCGGGUCUCUGGGCCGAUACUGACGCUGAGGAGCGAAAGCGUGGGGAGCGAACAGG
rnacentral:rRNA from 1 species